rnacentral:lncRNA from 1 species
UAUAAUAAAAAUUUGAUAAAAUAAUGAAAUAUCAAGUUUAAAAUACUAUAUAAAUAGUUUAAUAAUAUCAGAAGUAAUAAUUAUUUUUCCAUUUUAAUAGAAAAUUAUAUUUUAUAAUAUAUAUAUUUUUUAGAUCAUAAUUACAUCUGGAAUGAAAUAUUAAUUCAUUUUUGUGUGUUUACUGGUUAUGUUUUGUAACUUAUUAUAGCUUAUUAGAUUUUUUCUUAUGCUAUUUUAAAAUGAGAAAUUGCACCGUACACACAAGACAUAUACGCUAAUUAGGUAAAUGCACUAUUUACAUUAUCGAGGAUGUCAGGAGGUGUUAGUUUUACAUUUCUAACCUUGCUCACUUCAUACUCACAUCAACCGGUUACCUACUG